rnacentral:rRNA from 1 species
UACGGAGGGGGCUAGCGUUGUUCGGAAUUACUGGGCGUAAAGCGCACGUAGGCGGCUUUGUAAGUUAGAGGUGAAAGCCCGGGGCUUAACCCCGGAAUAGCCUUUAAGACUGCAUCGCUUGAACACGGGAGAGGUGAGUGGAAUUCCGAGUGUAGAGGUGGAAUUCGUAGAUAUUCGGAAGAACACCAGUGGCGAAGGCGGCUCACUGGACCGUUGUUGACGCUGAGGUGCGAAAGCGUGGGGAGCAAACAGG